GAUGAACGCUGGCGGCGUGCCUAAUACAUGCAAGUCGAGCGAACGGACGAGAAGCUUGCUUCUCUGAUGUUAGCGGCGGACGGGUGAGUAACACGUGGAUAACCUACCUAUAAGACUGGGAUAACUUCGGGAAACCGGAGCUAAUACCGGAUAAUAUUUUGAACCGCAUGGUUCAAAAGUGAAAGACGGUCUUGCUGUCACUUAUAGAUGGAUCCGCGCUGCAUUAGCUAGUUGGUAAGGUAACGGCUUACCAAGGCAACGAUGCAUAGCCGACCUGAGAGGGUGAUCGGCCACACUGGAACUGAGACACGGUCCAGACUCCUACGGGAGGCAGCAGUAGGGAAUCUUCCGCAAUGGGCGAAAGCCUGACGGAGCAACGCCGCGUGAGUGAUGAAGGUCUUCGGAUCGUAAAACUCUGUUAUUAGGGAAGAACAUAUGUGUAAGUAACUGUGCACAUCUUGACGGUACCUAAUCAGAAAGCCACGGCUAACUACGUGCCAGCAGCCGCGGUAAUACGUAGGUGGCAAGCGUUAUCCGGAAUUUAUGGGCGNUAAGCGCGCGUAGGCGGUUUUUUAGUCUGAUGUGAAAGCCCACGGCUCAACCGUGGAGGGUCAUUGGAAACUGGAAAACUUGAGUGCAGAAGAGGAAAGUGGAAUUCCAUGUGUAGCGGUGAAAUGCGCAGAGAUAUGGAGGAACACCAGUGGCGAAGGCGACUUUCUGGUCUGUAACUGACGCUGAUGUGCGAAAGCGUGGGGAUCAAACAGGAUUAGAUACCCUGGUAGUCCACGCCGUAAACGAUGAGUGCUAAGUGUUAGGGGGUUUCCGCCCCUUAGUGCUGCAGCUAACGCAUUAAGCACUCCGCCUGGGGAGUACGACCGCAAGGUUGAAACUCAAAGGAAUUGACGGGGACCCGCACAAGCGGUGGAGCAUGUGGUUUAAUUCGAAGCAACGCGAAGAACCUUACCAAAUCUUGACAUCCUUUGACAACUCUAGAGAUAGAGCCUUCCCCUUCGGGGGACAAAGUGACAGGUGGUGCAUGGUUGUCGUCAGCUCGUGUCGUGAGAUGUUGGGUUAAGUCCCGCAACGAGCGCAACCCUUAAGCUUAGUUGCCAUCAUUAAGUUGGGCACUCUAAGUUGACUGCCGGUGACAAACCGGAGGAAGGUGGGGAUGACGUCAAAUCAUCAUGCCCCUUAUGAUUUGGGCUACACACGUGCUACAAUGGACAAUACAAAGGGCAGCGAAACCGCGAGGUCAAGCAAAUCCCAUAAAGUUGUUCUCAGUUCGGAUUGUAGUCUGCAACUCGACUACAUGAAGCUGGAAUCGCUAGUAAUCGUAGAUCAGCAUGCUACGGUGAAUACGUUCCCGGGUCU
rnacentral:rRNA from 1 species